rnacentral:tRNA from 1 species
CCCUGGGUGGCUCAAUCGGUUGAGCGUCUGACUUCAGCUCAGGUCAUGGUCUCAUGGUUCGUGGGUUCAAGCCCCGUGUUGGGCU